AACGAACGCUGGCGGCAGGCCUAACACAUGCAAGUCGAACGUGAAGCCACCUUCGGGUGGUGGAAAGUGGCAGACGGGUGAGUAACGCGUGGGAAUCUACCCAAUGGUACGGAAUAACUCAGGGAAACUUGAGCUAAUACCGUAUGUGCCCGAAAGGGGAAAGAUUUAUCGCCAUUGGAUGAGCCCGCGUCUGAUUAGCUAGUUGGUGGGGUAAUGGCCCACCAAGGCGACGAUCAGUAGCUGGUCUGAGAGGAUGAUCAGCCACACUGGGACUGAGACACGGCCCAGACUCCUACGGGAGGCAGCAGUGGGGAAUAUUGGACAAUGGGCGCAAGCCUGUUCCAGCCAUGCCGCGUGAGUGAUGAAGGCCCUAGGGUUGUAAAGCUCUUUCGGCGGGGACGAUAAUGACGGUACCCGCAGAAGAAGCCCCGGCUAACUUCGUGCCAGCCGCCGCAGUAA
rnacentral:rRNA from 1 species